GGUUCCAUAGUGUAGCGGUUAGCAUGUCUGCUUUACACGCAGAAGGUUCCGGGUUCACACCCCAGUGAAGACA
rnacentral:tRNA from 1 species